rnacentral:rRNA from 1 species
CCAGACUCCUACGGGAGGCAGCAGUGAGGAAUAUUGGUCAAUGGGCGAGAGCCUGAACCAGCCAAGUCGCGUGAAGGAUGACGGCCCUACGGGUUGUAAACUUCUUUUGUCAGGGAGCAAUUGAGUCCACGUGUGGGCUUAGCGAGAGUACCUGAAGAAAAAGCAUCGGCUAACUCCGUGUCAGCAGCCGCGGUAAUACGGAGGAUGCGAGCGUUAUCCGGAUUUAUUGGGUUUAAAGGGUGCGUAGGCGGAGUGUCAAGUCAGCGGUAAAAUUUCGGGGCUCAACCCCGUCGUGCCGUUGAAACUGACGCCCUUGAGUGAGUGAGAAGUAAGCGGAAUGCGUGGUGUAGCGGUGAAAUGCAUAGAUAUCACGCAGAACUCCGAUUGCGAAGGCAGCAUACCGGCGCGCAACUGACGCUCAUGCACGAAAGCGUGGGUAUCGAACAGGAUUAGAUACCCCCGUAAG